rnacentral:lncRNA from 1 species
UGAUAAUUGACAUCGAAGGCCUUGCGUCAAAUAUAGGUGCACAUAUACUCCAGCUAAACAACCCAAAUACCCAAUACAUUGAGCACCCAAUUACAACUUCUGAGAUUCUUCAAUUCAAUUUAAUUCAACUUUGAACUGUUCCUUCAACUUCUCGACCAAGAAAAUAUACUGAAGAAAUCCCUUUCAGUCUCAUUUUCACACUGUAAUUUAAAUGUAUUCAACAUCAGUUGUCAUCCUAACCUUAAAUUAUGAAACAAAAACCUCUAAGAACCACACCAUACAACCACCAUAGACGGUGGUUUCCGCAGUGGCAGUAAAUACCCAGAAACGCAAGUCGAAGAUAUUGAAUAGAACCAAGGAAUCACUUACCCAGACUAUCAGAGGUUGAAGAUUUGAUCAUUGUUCAAGCAGCAAAUGAACCAACAGUGCCAGAAAAGCUCGUCGGCGUCAACGAACUCGAUGGAACCGAAGAAACCAAACCAAUUCAAUAUUGACCAAACUCAAAAAUUAAGUCGGGUUUGUGGAAGAAAUCCAUACCAAAUAAAUCGGAUUCGUGGCCGGAAACCCCAGAAAUCGGCGGAGGAGCAGAAGCUUCUCGCGUCGUUUCUCUUUCUACAGCCGCCGAUCAGAAAAACUAAGGCUAGAGAGAGCUCGGUGACGUCGAGACAGUUUUAUUGGUGGCUGUGUGUCGUCUAAAGGUGGCCGGAUGGCGAGGGCGGCGUCGGAGGUCGGCAUCGAGUCAAGAGAAAAG